GGAGGCGUCGCAUAGCGGUCUAGUGCACCACCUUGGAAAGGUGGCAUGCCCGAAAGGGUAUCAGAGGUUCGAAUCCUCUCGCCUCCG
rnacentral:tRNA from 1 species